CUUCCUGUUAAAACGGGACAUCAGAACAACCACACCAAAGUCAGCACAGAGCACAACAAGGAAUGUCUCAUCAACAUCUCUAAGUACAAGUUCCCCCACCUCAUCAGUGGCCUCACGAACAUACUAAAAAAUGUGAACAACAUGCGGAUAUUCGGGGAAGCUGCUGAGAAGAACCUCUACCUCUCCCAGCUGAUUAUCCUGGACACACUGGAGAAGUGCCUGGCAUCGCAAUCAAAGGACUGCCUGCGUCUGGACGAGACCAUGCUGGUGAAGCAGCUGCUGCCAGAGAUCUGUCACUUCAUCCACACGUACCGCGAGGGCCACCAGCACGCUGCUGAGCUCCGUGCCUCCGCCUCAGGGGUCCUCUUCUCCCUCAGCUGCAACAACUUCAACGCUGUUUUCAGCCGCAUCUCCACCAGGUUGCAGGAGCUGACAGUCUGCUCAGAAGACACUGUGGAUGUGCACGAUAUAGAGCUCAUGCAGUACAUCAACGUGGACUGCUCCAAACUUAAAAGACUGCUCCAAGAAACGGUAUUAAAAUUCAAAGCCCUGAAGAAACCUGCCCAACUUGCCGUCAUUAACAGUUUGGAAAAGGCCUUUUGGAACUGGGUAGAGAACUACCCUGAUGAGUUUACCAUGCUCUACCAGAGACCACAGACGGACAUGGCAGAUGCUGCGGAGAGGCUGUUUGACCUGGUGGACAGCUUUGCUGAGAGUGCCAAGAGGAAGGCAGCGGUGUGGCCUCUACAGAUCAUCCUCCUCAUCCUCCUGUCCCGAGAUCACACACAUCAUCUCUCGAGAGGUGGUGGAGGAGAGCAAGGCCAACAAGAAGCUGUUCCUGGAGAGCUUGAGGAAGGCUCUAGCAGGCCAGGGGGGCAGCAAGCAACUAACAGAGAGUGCAGCCAUCGCCUGUGUCAAACUGUGCAAGGCCUCCACCUACAUCAACCGGGAGGACCACUCGGGCAUCUUCCUCCUCGUGCAGUCCAUCGUGGUGGACCUCAAGGCCCUGCUCUUCAACCCCACCAAGCCCUUCUCUCGCGGGGCAGGCAGCCAGAACGCAGAUGUGGACCUCAUGAUCGACUGCUUCGUCGCCUGUUUCCGUAUCAACCCUCACAACAAUCAGCACUUUAAGGUCUGUUUGGCCUCCGCCUCCCCCUCUACCUUUCACUUUGUCCUGGUCAACUCCCUGCACAGAAUCAUCACCAAUUCUGAUCUGGACUGGUGACCUAAGAUUGAUGCAGUGUACUGCUACUCUGGAGAGCUGCGACUAAUGUUCUCAGACACUCUGAGCCGAGUGAUGCAAGGCCUUCACACACAUGCCCCACUACGCAUGACGCC